UGCGAGGUAGAGAAGUCCGGUCAUCUCACAAGGCUCAUAACCUUGAGAUCGGUGGUUCGAAUCCACCCCUCGCAUC
rnacentral:tRNA from 1 species